rnacentral:rRNA from 1 species
UACAGGGGGUGCAAACGUUGCUCGGAAUCACUGGGCGUAAAGGGUGCGUAGGCGGGGCUUUAAGUCAGGGGUGAAAUCCUGGAGCUCAACUCCAGAACUGCCUUUGAUACUGAGGAUCUUGAGUUCGGGAGAGGUGAGUGGAACUGCGAGUGUAGAGGUGAAAUUCGUAGAUAUUCGCAAGAACACCAGUGGCGAAGGCGGCUCACUGGCCCGGUACUGACGCUGAGGUGCGAAAGCGUGGGGAGCAAACAGG